ACUUGAACUUACUUAGGCAUUUGGCUGUGAUCAGGUGCUCAUGGAUGCCCCUGUGUGUGAGAGCAUGAAGGCCAAUGGUGGCUGCGAAGGAAUGAAGUAGUGCUGCGAUGCAGAUGUCCCUUGAAAACAUUGUGCCAAGUGAAAGAAGGCAUAUGGAAAAGGUCAUGCCAUGCAUAACUCCAUUUAUAUGAAAUCUCCAAAAAUGGAACCUCGAGCUGUCUGGCUGUGGUCAAGGUUGUUAUGCUGCUUCUGUGUUGGAAAGACACCAUGGAUGGACAUCCCAAAGCUGGUUGAAGAAUUCUUAGUUACAAUCUCUAUGAUUGCAUCUCUGAUUACAGAGACCAGU